rnacentral:rRNA from 1 species
CGUGUAGGUGGUUAGAUAAGUCAGAUGUGAAAGCUUCCGGCUUAACCGGAAAACUGCAUUUGAAACUGUUUAGCUUGAGUGCGAGAGAGGGUAGCGGAAUUCCCAGUGUAGCGGUGAAAUGCGUAGAUAUUGGGAAGAACACCAGUAGCGAAGGCGGCUACCUGGCUCGUAACUGACGCUAAUGCGCGAAAGCGUGGGGAGCAAACA